rnacentral:pre_miRNA from 1 species
AGUAGAAUUACUGGGUCAUAUGUAACUAUUUAACUUUUUGAGGAACUGCCAAACUCUUUUCCAAAGUGGGUGCACCAUUUUACAUUCCCACCAUUAAU